ACUAAGGGUGAUGAUUUAUCAAAUGCAGUUUGUACACGCCCACACAGUUCUGAGAAGAGGUAUAAACGUCAUUUUUAUAACUAGAAACAUGAUCAUGCCUCUCUCUAUUAGUCUCCAUCCAGCAGCUCCAGCCAGACACCACCCAACCCACACAGAGGCCGUAGCCGAAAUUGUUGACCUUCGGGAAAAUCCCACUCUUCUAUACGCCUAACUUCCAAACGGCUGGCCCCUCAAUACCCAACCCGCAGGCCCCGGAUAAGUCUCCUUGCUAUGCUACAAACAAAGAAAUUUUUAGAUAAACAUCAGUGAAAGACAAGUUUGUUCAAAAGAGAAGUUUAAAGGAUAAAGUUAAUAAUCUCAGCAUUGGCUAUCAAGGAUGAAAGAGAGGUAAUAUGCACAAAGACCAGUGCGAGACCAGUGUGGCAGGAAGUGCAUUUUACAUAUUCUGUUAUAACCAAUGAGAUGCAUUUGAUGGUGUGAUGUAUCACAGCUUACCUCCUUCACUCACUGAAAUACCAACAAGUUUCUUGACAAGACGCAAUGUCAAGAUGAUCCUGUUAUGGGUUACAAUGCUUGUCUUUAUCAAGGAUGUAAGUGCUAUUUUAUUAUUUUUAUUUAAGAAUUUAUAUGCCAACUGGACAACUUUGCAUCAUAUCCAUUCCACAUCAUACAAUUACUGUUUUAUAUAUUGUAUGUUUUCAUUUCAUUCAGAUACAUUGGUUCCAUUGACCACCGUUGAACUUGGUGAACCUGCGACCUUAACAUGUGUUUUGCCUAAUCAAGAGUUGAGCAGUAGAAUACUCCACUGGUACAAGCAACAAACAGAUUGGACUGAUUCUGGUGAUGGAGUGGGACAUAUCUGUUAGUAAAAGCUCCUCUGAUGCUGGGACUUAUAACUGUGCUGUGGCCACAUGUGGGAAAAUAUUAUUUGGAGACAAAACUGGACUUUCAAGAGAGAUGAGGACACAUGGAUUUAUUCUGCUGUCGUCUUCAGCUUGAUGAAAGCUGACGGUGUAAAAAAGGAUGCAAAAGCAGCGGAGAGAGAGAGGAUCUAUGCUGCUGUCAAGGAUUUUCGUUUGGAUUAGUGAGUUAACAGGUCUGUUUGUCAUCAGUUGGUACUGUAUGAUAUAGUUAAUGUUAGUCUGUUUGGAGCUAAAGGGUUUGUUAUACUGUCUGUGGCUAUUUGGUAGUACUGUCUAUGUUUUACUGUAUAUAAUUUUUUUCAACGUCUAAAAAAAGUAGAUUUUGUCUUUUUCAUGCAAAUGUGAACCCCCGUGUAUUAGAGGUAAAGGUGCCAAAUGUGAACUACAUUGUCCAGUUCAAGUCUGGCUCGGGACCUUUAUUGCAUCUUUCUCCCGCAUUUCCAAUCAUGUCUCUAAUGGCUUUAAUAAAGAUAAAAAAAUACCCAGAAAUACACACAGUAAGGCUAUUCAAAUGUGUUUCUGUUAACGUGGACAUUAUUGUUACACCCCUAAAAGUUACAGGCAAAUUUAUGUUGAUGGACCAAAUAUCAGAGAGGUUUACUGUUUUUAAAGUAGAGAAAACGAACAAGGUAUACUCGAUUAUUAUUAUUAUUUGGAUCCAAAAAUAAUAUGAAUCAGUACUCAGAAUCAGACAAUACCCUGUAUUGAAAUUAGGAUGGGGAGAGAGAAAGUCAGAUCAGAGGAUUUUAGAAAAUAAGUUUAUUGCAUCAUCAUGAAUGUCUUUUGUUUGGAGAAAGAGAUCAUUUUUGUAUUUUAUUGCUGAAGAUGCAGUUACUAUGUAUCCAUAUUUAAUGCCAGAAGCAAACACACAUCC